rnacentral:rRNA from 1 species
AUGGCGUGUAGGUGGACGGGGUCGGAGAGGCAACAGGGUAGAGAGCCUAUGCGGAUGGAAGGAUGGCGGUCGACGCCGUCGGCAAACCGGAGCCGGGAGGGAACGCAGAUCCGUACUGCUGGAUGCGGAGCCACCAGAACGCUAGCGAACUGGAGCUGGAAGAGGCGCAGCUGCCGGGGCCGGGGCCGAAACCACGCUGGUAGAGGACGCCGGCAGACCAAGAACACUGGAGAGCAGGUCCACGGGGCCGGGACCGGAGCGGUGUCGACAAAAUCCACCACGGAGCUUCUAACAUCCUGCCAGACGACCACCGUCACCACACACACAGAGGUUGUUGCAGUAGCUCGAAGGAGGCACCGUCGGGGACCAAGGAUGGUCUGCACCUAG